rnacentral:misc_RNA from 1 species
UUGCCAUAUUUGCAUCGUUAUAUCAUUUAUUACAUUUUUUACUAUCAUAGAAGUAUUAUUACUAGGCUUCAAUCCAUUUUCAUUUCUCUGGCUUCCUGUUAUUCAAACUGUCAGUGUUUAUUCUGGGCUAAUGAUGUUUAAUUGUGUUCGAAGAUAAUUAUGCUGAGAGACAAAGAACUUUCCAGAAUCAUAUGAGAACGACAUUCAUGAUGAGAAAUCAUUAAUAUCAUGCAGAUACCAUCAUCUAUAUUACGGAUACCCUUUAAAAAAAAUGGUAUGGUCUAUUUUGAUAACAAAAUUAUUAAUAGUAUUGUUUGAGCAUGCACGAAUUAUAUUAUGGCCUAAUGCUUUUAAUCAAUGCGGCUGGAUCUACCUGACAAGAUCCACACAAUGCCCAUUAUUGAAAGGAAGACAUAUACAGGCAUUGCUAUUCCAUUCGGGAAAAACACCCGUGUUCAAAAAGCAGAGUGCACAGGAUGUAAUGUCACUUCAUUUACAUAGGUCACUAUCAAACAUCUUCGAGGCCUGCAUGGAGAAUCCCCAGCCACGCCCGAUUGAUUACAAUGCCUACUCUACCAAGAAAACGAUUGCAGAAGGUUUGUUGGACGUCGCUUUACUCCUUGCCAAUGCAUCACAAUUCAAAGUCUUGAUCAUACAAGGCCCUUCAUA